UACGAAGGGGGCUAGCGUUGCUCGGAAUCACUGGGCGUAAAGGGUGCGUAGGCGGGUCUUUAAGUCAGGGGUGAAAUCCUGGAGCUCAACUCCAGAACUGCCUUUGAUACUGAGGAUCUUGAGUUUCGGGAGAGGUGAGUGGAACUGCGAGUGUAGAGGUGAAAUUCGUAGAUAUUCGCAAGAACACCAGUGGCGAAGGCGGCUCACUGGCCCGAUACUGACGCUGAGGUGCGAAAGCGUGGGGGAGCAAACAGG
rnacentral:rRNA from 1 species